GCUGUCUGCUUUGGCAAAAUCUUAUGCUCUCUAGUUUUUGAAAGUCAACCAGUGACUGCUCGUGGGGGUUGGAAGGGACCUUGGAGGGAGUCCGGUCCAACCCCCUGCUCGGAGCGGGGCCAAGGGACAGCGCGUUGCUCAGAGGGGCUGCUGGGACCCAGGGAGACCCAGGGGUGCACGAGCAGGCUCGCCUGUGCAGCUUAUUUCAAGAUCUUUGUGGGGGGAGGGAAAGGAGAACAUCGUCUACACGUUUGGA
ensembl:lncRNA